UUCAUUUUCUUUAUAUUUUUUUUUGUAUACAAUUUUUGUAUUUGCUUUUGGUUGUUGCUGUUGCUUUUGGCUUUACAGAGUCAGUCAGCAGUUUUCAGUCAUCGAGCUAUUAGUUUCUUUUCAUAUUCAUCAGUCGUUUUAUAGCAACGUGAGUGUUCACAACAUCAUCCAAUAAUACCAAGUAGUCGUCCGAGAAGAAAUAGGAACAAAAAUUAAAAUAAACAUAUAAAAAAAUCAUUUAUCUCCUACGAGUACUUGGAACGUUACGCGGACGCGGAGUGUAAGAAAUAAUAAAAAAAAUUAGUUUUAUUUUGUUUAAGUAAUUGUAGACCAACUACACAAAUAUAAACGAAUGAAAAGAAAAAAAUCACUAUCAUCAAUAUAAAAUGUAGAGGAGCAGAGAGAGAGAGAAUGUAUACAUAUGUUUCUGUGGGUCCCUCUCUCUGUUUAUCACACUGUUCGUAUGAAAAUAAGAAGAAUUAGUAGCAAAGUGUUUGUGUGUUUAUAAUAAUGAUGGACUCUGUCUGUCUGUUAUUAUUUUUAUUUUAUAAUAAAACAGAAAUAAAGAAAAAAAAGUGCAAUUGAGUUGUGUUUACCCCACUGUGUAUUUUAAAACACGCAAUUAUUUGUUUGCAAAUUAAUCAAAUCACUAAAAUAGCAAAAAAAAAAAAAAAUAAA
rnacentral:lncRNA from 1 species